AGUGAACGCUGGCGGUAGGCCUAACACAUGCAAGUCGAACGGCAGCACAGGAGAGCUUGCUCUCUGGGUGGCGAGUGGCGGACGGGUGAGGAAUACAUCGGAAUCUACCUUUUCGUGGGGGAUAACGUAGGGAAACUUACGCUAAUACCGCAUAAGACCUUCGGGUGAAAGCAGGGGACCUUCGGGCCUUGCGCGGAUAGAUGAGCCGAUGUCGGAUUAGCUUGUUGGCGGGGUAAAAGCCCACCAAGGCGACGAUCCGUAGCUGGUCUGAGAGGAUGAUCAGCCACACUGGAACUGAGACACGGUCCAGACUCCUACGGGAGGCAGCAGUGGGGAAUAUUGGACAAUGGGCGCAAGCCUGAUCCAGCCAUACCGCGUGGGUGAAGAAGGCCUUCGGGUUGUAAAGCCCUUUUGUUGGAAGAAACUUGCGGGCUAAUACCCAGCAAGUCUGACGGUACCCAAAGAAUAAGCACCGGCUAACUUCGUGCCAGCAGCCGCGGUAAUCU
rnacentral:rRNA from 1 species